UCCUGUCAACGAUGAAAUAGGUUAGACCUGGUUAGUCGUCAGGUGAUGUAGCAGCCCAGGCAGCACAGAUCACAGAACACAGAAAUCCACAAAGGAAUCUUAAUAUCUAGGUACAUAUUUACUAAUACUACACACACUUUUGCGGAUGUAAUCAUACAUAUAUCAUAUUUGAUGUUUAAAGCGCAAUCAAUUGAAAUCACUAGAGAUACGAGACUCGAGAUCUGCUCUGUUUCCGAAUAACAAGACUAUGCUCCUAGAACCGUGAGGACUGGCCGAUUGCGCGUGGGAUGCGGCUGGAUUCCCUGCUGUGUUCUGCUCCAGCAAAGGUAGAUGGACGCCACAACACACAACACAUACACAGAUGGCCGAUGCCGAUGACGCUGAUAGUGGUUGAUGACGUGCUUGAUAGCGCCCAGCAUGUGCGCACUACAAGUUAAGUUACCGUUAGUAAUUAGCAAGCGGCCUUACCCAUGUCCACACACACUUGCACACAAAAACACACACACAGAGAGGCGCUUACAUUGUGUUUUAGCAGCGUCCGACGCCUAAGAUAAGAAUAGUAGUAGUACAUCCCAAAUGCCUCAAAGUGAGCCGCUAACAGCAUGUCCACAUUGAUUUACUUUCUGUGCAUAUUAAUAUUAAUUAAUCAUUAUUCAAUUAUAAAGUGCACAUGUCUCACCCACAUCGGAAAAUGUAUCCAUAUGAAAAUACCUUCUGUAAAUCCUCUUUCAAAUUUCGCGCAAGCUACAAUUAUGGCGAAAUUGCGCAGCAAAAAAUGGUGGCCGUCGACCCGCGUGGGUUAGUAAUAAGUAAAUAUGCCAAUAUUUCUGCAAAAUGCAUACGUAUAAUGUAUUCUCCAACAGACCAUAUGCACACUUAUGUAUUUGCAACAAUUGGUUGCAGAUUUGAGUAGUAGUUUCACCUAUUACUUCCAAUUGUUUAAGAUCACCGUCAAAA